rnacentral:rRNA from 1 species
GAUGAACGCUGGCGGCGUGCCUAAUACAUGCAAGUCGAGCGAACAGACGAGGAGCUUGCUCCUCUGACGUUAGCGGCGGACGGGUGAGUAACACGUGGAUAACCUACCUAUAAGACUGGGAUAACUUCGGGAAACCGGAGCUAGUACCGGAUAAUAUAUUGAACCGCAUGGUUCAAUAGUGAAAGACGGUUUUGCUGUCACUUAUAGAUGGAUCCGCGCCGCAUUAGCUAGUUGGUAAGGUAACGGCUUACCAAGGCAACGAUGCGUAGCCGACCUGAGAGGGUGAUCGGCCACACUGGAACUGAAACACGGUCCAGCCUCCUACGGGAGGCAGCAGCAGGGAAUCUUCCGAAAUGGGGGAAAGCCUGACGGGGAAACGCCGCGGGGGGGAUAAAGGUCUUCGGAUCGGAAACCUCUUUUAUUGGGGAAAAACAAAUGUGUAAGUAACUAUGCACGUCUUGACGGUCCCUAAUCAGAAACCCCCGGCUAACUACG